rnacentral:rRNA from 1 species
GGGAAUCUUGCGCAAUGGGCGAAANUGACGCAGCAACGCCGCGUGCGGAUGACGGCCUUCGGGUUGUAAACCGCUUUCAGCAGGGACGAAAAUGACGGUACCUGCAGAAGAAGCCCCGGCUAACUACGUG